rnacentral:ribozyme from 14 species
GAAAGCAAAUCUGGGAGAGAUAAUAUCCCUUCCGAUAUUUUAUUUGUCUUUCAUUUUUUUCUUUCAUUUUUCUUAUCUCUCGUU